GGGCCUGUAGUAAAAUGGCAUUAUGCAAGGCUGGCAGUCUUGAGGUCCGAGUUCAAUUCUCGGCAGGUCCA
rnacentral:tRNA from 1 species